rfam:Monodelphis domestica chromosome 8, whole genome shotgun sequence.
UAUCCUGAGACAAAGAAUUCGCUCCGGAGCCCCACCACACCUAAAAAAAAAAUGCUUUGAAGGGAUUGCCAAGCUCACUUUUAAUCAUGGGAAAGAAAUUACCCACAUGGAGUCAGCAGAAAAUGAAAAAGUAGGCCUCGUGCUGAGAUAAUUCCAGCGAGUGCCAAGGGGCUAGUUGAGAUAUGGCUUCAUGAGG